rnacentral:rRNA from 1 species
CCCAUCCCGAACCCGGAAGUGAAACGCUGUUGCGCCGAUGGUAGUGGGGCGAUAGGCCCUGUGAGAGUAGGUCGUUGCCAGGU